rnacentral:rRNA from 1 species
AGUGAACGUUGGCGGCGUGGAUUAGGCAUGCAAGUCGAGCGAGAACCGUAGCAAUACGGGGACAGCGGCGAAAGGGACAGUAAUGUGUAGGUACCUACCUCCGGGUUCGGGAUAGUUGCGGGAAACUGCAGGUAAUACCGAAUAACGUCUCCGGACCAAGGGUGUGAUUCCACCUGGAGAGGGGCCUGCAUCCUAUUAGCUUGUUGGCGGGGUAACGGCCCACCAAGGCGACGAUGGGUAGCGGGUGUGAGAGCACGACCCGCGUCAUUGGGACUGAGACACUGCCCAGACACCUACGGGUGGCUGCAGUCGUGAAUCUUCGGCAAUGGGCGCAAGCCUGACCGAGCGACGCCGCGUGCGGGAUGAAGGCCUUCGGGUUGUAAACCGCUGUCGUAGAGGAAGAAAUGCAGGGGGGUUCUCCCCUCUGUUUGACCUAUUCUAGGAGGAAGUACGGGCUAAGUUCGUGCCAGCAGCCGCCGUAA